ensembl:miRNA
CAGGGGGACCCGCGCUGGAUCGUGGAGGAGCGGGAGGACGGGACCAACGUGAACAACUGGCACUGGUGCGGC